rnacentral:rRNA from 1 species
CACGUAGGGGGCGAGCGUUGUCCGGAUUUAUUGGGCGUAAAGAGCUCGUAGGCGGCUCUGUAAGUCAGGUGUGAAACCUCCAGGCUCAACCUGGAGACGCCACCCGAGACUGCUAUGACUUGAGUCUGGUAGGGGAUCACGGAAUUCCUGGUGUAGCGGUGAAAUGCAUAGAUAUCAGGAGGAACACCGGUGGCGAAGGCGGUGAUCUGGGCCAGUACUGACGCUGAGGAGCGAAAGCGUGGGGAGCGAACAGG